rnacentral:rRNA from 1 species
AUUGAACGCUGGCGGCAUGCUUUACACAUGCAAGUCGAACGGCAGCGCGGGCUUCGGCCUGGCGGCGAGUGGCGAACGGGUGAGUAAUACAUCGGAACGCGCCCAGUAGUGGGGGAUAGCUCGGCGAAAGCCGGAUUAAUACCGCAUACGACCUGAGGGUGAAAGCGGGGGAUCUUCGGACCUCGCGCUAUUGGAGCGGCCGAUGGCAGAUUAGCUAGUUGGUGGGGUAAAGGCCUACCAAGGCGACGAUCUGUAGCUGGUCUGAGAGGACGACCAGCCACACUGGGACUGAGACGCGGCCCAGACUCCUACGGGAGGCAGCAGUGGGGAAUUUUGGACAAUGGGCGAAAGCCUGAUCCAGCAAUGCCGCGUGUGUGAUGAAGGCCUUCGGGUUGUAAAGCACUUUUGGCGGGAACGAAAAGGACUGUGCCAAUACCACGGUUCGAUGACGGUACCCGCAGAAUAAGCACCGGCUAACUACGUG